CGGAGGUUGAGCCGGUGCGACGCCAGCGUCGCCGACGCCUUUCUAGUUACGAAUAUAUUUCCUCUUUGUCUAGCGUGUGCAAGUGUUAUCUCUUUAUUGAGAGAUUCACGAUCAAGAUUUGAUAA
rnacentral:lncRNA from 1 species